GAGCUGAUCAUCUGAACAAUUUCUGGCUCUAUUUCUCUCUCUCUCGAUUACUCUCUCGAUUGAUUUCCAGAGCUGACUCUCACUCUCUCUUUGAAAAUCCUAGGGAUUUGUUUGGAAACCAGAGAAGAUAACACACACGACCGACGAUGACGAUUACCCAUGACAAUGAAGGACAACAAAGACUCUUGACAAAUAAGGAAUACACUCCGUAACUUUCCCAAAAUCGAUCGACCGUUCGCAUCGGAGAAGAAACGACUACGCUAGAGAAGAGAUGACUACUCACAUCGGAGAAACUCAACAGCUGGUUGAUCUCCGCCUGGAACGGAAACGUCUCUGUAUGGGCCAUUCUCUCUCUACUGUUCUUUAGAAAUCGAGUUUUUCAAAACCUAGAGACAAGACGUAUCAGGUCACAAUCAGUUUUUGAAAAUCGAGUUCUUUCUCCGUCAACUCAUCGGCAACUCGUACAGUUAAGGUUUUUGUGUGCCUUCGUAUGGCGUAGGUUUUUGGGGAUUACCUUUUGGGUGACUUGAAGAGGAAAAAUCCGUCGCGGUGCUGUACGACAGUCACGUCACAGGGAGGAAGAAAAUUUACCUUUUGGUGGAUUCGAAGCUGAAAAAUUCAUCGCAGCAUCUCUAAAUUCCACAUUGUGCGAACUUUUGCAAGCCCUGCUGCACUGACAGUUACAAUGAUGAAGAAAACGCUGGCAAAAAGACACGAACACGGAUUUUAGGAAAGCUCAAAUAAUGAGAGUUAAACCCCAACACCAGUGAUUCUGCCAGAAACUGAGGUGAAUGAGGAAAGAGUUGCACCGAUUAAGGUUAGAGUGCCUCAAAUGUCAAGAGCAAGAGUACGAUCUUAGAGAGAGAUUAGCAACAAACAUGCAAUAAUCCCGAUCACAACUAGUAAAUAAAAAAAAGAAAAGAAAAAUGGGUAGAAAAGAGCCUGAAGAACAAGCAGAGGUAGAUAAAGAACACACACAAGCAGAACAAACACAACCAACGGGCUCUAACCGGUGCAAUUUGCAGUCUAUAUGUAGAGUACUCAAGGAU